GAUGAAGAACGUAGCGAAAUGCGAUAAGUAAUGUGAAUUGCAGAAUUCCGUGAAUCAUCGAAUCUUUGAACGCACAUUGCGCCCCCUGGUAUUCCGGGGGGCAUGCCUGUCCGAGCGUCAUUGCUGCCCUCAAGCACGGCUUGUGUGUUGGGCCUCCGUCCUCCUCCCGGGGGACGGGCCCGAAAGGCAGCGGCGGCACCGCGUCCGGUCCUCGAGCGUAUGGGGCUUCGUCACCCGCUCUUGUAGGCCCGGCCGGCGCUUGCCGACACAUCAAUCUUUUUUCCAGGUUGACCUCGGAUCAGGUAGGGAUACCCGCUGAACUUAAGCAUAUCAAUAAAGCGGAGGA
rnacentral:misc_RNA from 1 species